GGUCAGAAUGAAAUAACCAGCAAACCAAGAAUACUUAGCAAGCACACCGCCAAAGCUGAGAACCAGAUCCAAAGCUGAAUCAGAGAGCAAACCCGAAUACGAGGGCCAGAGGUGGUUCGCGACUUGUCUGAGACAGAGUACAGCAGCAAUCGCGAACCAGAAACAAAAAUCGCGAGUCUGAUGAUGGCCAGAAUUAGAUCGCGACAGUCGCGAUGAAGAAGACAGAGAUGUGUGAUCUCAGGUCGCACAACGAUUGCGACUUCUGUUAGGGUUUUCAGAGCUAGAAAUUAGAUGGGUCGACCACGAAGGAGAGCCAGAGAGAGAGGACGAGCUGUGACGAGCCGAUGACUAGAUGGGUCGAACCGUUGGAUGGGUGCGACUACCAAAUAGCACAAACAGAGAAGAAAUCCAGAUGGGUUGACUGAGACAAGGCACAAUCACGAACAAGAAGGCAAUGGAGACGGCUCUGAGGUUUCGGAUCAGAGAACGGCUGAUACCAUAUGGAACUACCUCACUGGACUGACAUUGUGAAGACUGGUAGGUUCAAGGAGCUUGCCCCUUAUGAUCUAGAUUGGUAUUAUAUCCAAGCUGGUAAGAUUUCUCGAUGGGUGAGUUAGUGUGUCGGUGAGCAUAUGCUUGUUCACAAUUAUGUUGGUUUUGCUUGAAUGAUUUGAAAUUUGUUGGUCAUGUAUUGUGACUUAGAUGGUUCCUGGUUGUUUAUUAUCCAAAUUUUGUGGUGGCUUCCAUGUCAAGGAAGAUAUACCUGAGGCAGGGUCCACUACAACAAAAUGCACCUUUGCCAACCAAAUUUGGCAACUAAAACAUUUUUCGUCGCCAAAAGUUAGACAUUUGGCGACUAAUUUUCCCUAUUGGUUGGCAAUGUUGUGAAUUUUAGCUACUAAAAUUUUUUAGUAGCCAUAUAAUAGCUAUUGGCGACAAACAAAAUUUAGUCACUAAAAACAUUCAAAAUAGGCGACCAAAAAGUAUUUUAGUAGCCAUAUAAUAGUUAUUGGCAACUAAAAAUUUUUUUGUCGGCGUUUGUCAAAAUUUUAGGCUACUAAUUCUGUUUUUAGUCGGCGUACGCUGCCUUUUGCGGACCAAAAAAUUUUCGCCGCUAAAAAGAGGGUUAUUUUUUCGGGAACUCUUUGCUGACUAAAAAAUUUAGUCGUUGAUUAAUUAGUUUUUGCCGACAAAAGAAAUAUUUAGUCACUAAAGGCAAGAAAUUUGUUUUGGAGGGAAGCGUAAAUAUUGGCGCCCUCCCCUUUGUUUCAAACACACACAGACCACUCACAAACACAGACCACUCAUCACCAAACCUGACGCCAGCUCCACCGUCGCACGUCGCUGGCCACCGUCGCUCCCCACUGUCGCAAGUCGCCACCGCCACCGCCACCGCCACCGCUGGAAAUCACGACCGCUACUGCUGCAAAUCACAGAUUUCACUCUAAGAUCCUUGAUGGGUUUUGAUUAAUUGAUUUCUUUCUCACUCGCACAUGUUAAUAGAGGCUUCAAGGGUUUGCCAUAUGCUUCGUUGUUGGUUUAACUUUUACACUCUUGUGACAGGACAAAAUAUUAUCUGCUACCAUCCCUUGUUCUACACAUAAAGCAUAGUGAGUCCAAGGAUUCCGCUGUAAGCCAAAGAAUUUUGCUGUCUGGUCCUGCAGGUUCUGAGAUAUAUCAGGAGAAGUUAUCAAAGGCACUUGCUCAUCACUUUGGGGCUAAAUUGCUUGUAUUCCAUAGCCGCUUGUAUCCAUCUUCACUAAAAGUGCAAUUUCUUGUAGUGGUCUUGGUGUUGGUGCCUUCUAGAGGAUUUAUGGUGGAAGUAAAAAGGAAUGGAAGUCGUCCACCUCAUUUCUACAAAAGCAGUGGGGCUGUUGCGCGUCAGAUUCUUUAGCAAUUGCAAAAGAUGAACAUUAUUGAUAUUGAUGUGAAGGGUGGGAGAAGAAUCACAUCCAAUGGCCAACAAGAUCUUGACCAAGUUGCUGGGUGGAUUGUAGUUGCCCCUUGAUCAAAUGAAUCAAUGAGCUCUGCUACUGAUCAUUUUGAUAAGUCUCUAGGUUUUAAUUUUAGUUGGUUGAAAAGAAGUUGCUACAUUUUUUUUUUUCAGAACAAUUUUUUGGUCCCAACUGCUGAGUGUUUAUGAACAUGUUUCCAUUUUGUUUUCUUUGGCCAUUGAUUUUUUUGAGUUCCAAGUGUAUUGCUAUGCCAUGGUGCGCGAUGUCGGUUACUUGAGACCUAAAAGCCCCGCACAAGUAAUAUGUAUUGGAAAAUUUUUGUUUGUCACCUUAUAAGUUUCAUUUGAGGCUUGGAAUCUUGGUUGAAAUUGGCUAAGAAAUGCAGAUUCAUGGUUUAUUUUUGGAUGCUC